GUGGGGAAUAUUGCACAAUGGGCGAAAGCCUGAUGCAGCGACGCCGCGUGAGGGAUGACGGCCUUCGGGUUGUAAACCUCUUUCAGCAGGGAAGAAGCGAAAGUGACGGUACCUGCAGAAGAAGCACCGGCUAACUACGUGCCAGCAGCCGCGGUAAUACGUAGGGUGCGAGCGUUGUCCGGAAUUAUUGGGCGUAAAGAGCUUGUAGGCGGUUUGUCGCGUCUGCUGUGAAAAUCCGGGGCUCAACCCCGGACUUGCAGUGGGUACGGGCAGACUAGAGUAUGGUAGGGGAGACUGGAAUUCCUGGUGUAGCGGUGAAAUGCGCAGAUAUCAGGAGGAACACCGAUGGCGAAGGCAGGUCUCUGGGCCAUUACUGACGCUGAGAAGCGAAAGCAUGGGGAGCGAACAGG
rnacentral:rRNA from 1 species